AACGAACGCUGGCGGCAGGCUUAACACAUGCAAGUCGAACGCUCCGCAAGGGGAGUGGCGCACGGGUGAGUAACACGUGGGAACCUACCUUCUGGUACGGAACAACCAAGGGAAACUUUGGCUAAGACCGUAUACGACCUCCGGGUGAAAGAUUGAUCGCCGGAAGAGGGGCCCGCGUCCGAUUAGGUAGUUGGUGAGGUAACGGCUCACCAAGCCUUCGAUCGGUAGCUGGUCUGAGAGGAUGACCAGCCACACUGGGACUGAGACACGGCCCAGACUCCUACGGGAGGCAGCAGUGGGGAAUAUUGGACAAUGGGCGCAAGCCUGAUCCAGCCAUGCCGCGUGAGUGAUGAAGGCCUUCGGUUGUUAAG
rnacentral:rRNA from 1 species